UAGAUAUUGACCAGGAAAAGAUAGUCUUGUACCGGCAAAAAAAAUGACUGGCCACAAAAAGCAACUAAUUCAGAAGAAAUUUCACUAUUUUAUCUUCCCUCACAUUUUUUUCACACCACUUAGAUAUUCCCUCCAAUUUCUCAAAUAACAAAAUAAAAUUUGGAAAAUUUGGGAAUACUGCACAAAGACUCGACCUAUCUCGCCGCUGCUGAAAACAUCACCGCCGCUGCUGAAAACAUCACCGCCGCUGCAACUCAUUUCUAUCUCAUCACCGGCCAACAAUUCCAGGGUUGGAGUAGUUCCCCUUCAUCAUUUUCUGAGAAAAUCAAAUAGCCGCUCCACCUGCUCUAGCCUAUCACGAUUAGAGAUUACCUCAUCAAGCUCCUUUUGAUUGGCAAUAGCAACGUUUUCUCUCGUUAGCAAGCCCAAUUAUAAAAAUGUAUCCAAAAAAGGUCAUAUAUUGUGAUGUUCAGAGACAUGGUAUGUGGAAGUUAUUGUGAUCAAGAGUUGGGAGAAUCUGUCCGAUGUAACUUAUUAUCGAGCUUAUAGCUACUUGAUAAAAUAAUUAAAUAGACGCGAAAUGUUUGGAUUCAAAUAAUUUAGCAUUCUUUAUGUUGUUUACACUCUCAAAUUAUGAAUUUAAUAAAGUGCAUUGAGCUGUUUGAAGUGAAU